rnacentral:rRNA from 1 species
UACGGAAGGGGGCUAGCGUUGCUCGGAAUCACUGGGCGUAAAGGGUGCGUAGGCGGGAUUUUAAGUCAGAGGUGAAAGCCUGGAGCUCAACUCCAGAACUGCCUUGAUACUGGAAUUCUUGAGUUCGGAAGAGGUAGGUGGAACUGCGGAGUGUAGAGGUGAAAUUCGUAGAUAUUCGAAGAACACCAGUGGCGAAGGCGCCUACUGGCCGAUACU